rnacentral:sRNA from 1 species
UUGGCUGACUGGCGCGCGCGGGGCUGUGGGAUGCAGGCCCGGAGAGGCGAAGGGAAGAGGGUGCGGGAUGCCCGUGGCCCCCGAUCUCGGUGUCCUAGUGCUGGGUUGUGCCAUCCUCUGCAACCCCAAUUGUCCCGGUCCAAGUCUUAGGAAUGAAGAGUCCAGGUUGGAAGCGAUUCAAGCCCCGAUUCCGUCCUCUUUCCCUACCAAGGAUGGCUUCAGGCCCCCGAAGUUGGUGGGUUUGGACUUCUCUUUUUUUUGCCUUGAGAACCUGUGUGUUAGUGCUCACUGGCCUGCAAAGGAAUCUGUACAGAGCGCCAUGAACUAGAGGAUGGAGAAUGAGUGCUUGGAGAUGCCUGAGGUACGGUCCUUACCCGCGUGGCAUGUGGAGGCUGGUAACGCUCUGUCCCAGUUUCUAGGAGCCCAGUGAGGUAGGUCUGGUGGGAGAGUUGGGUGGAAACUCGUGAACCGGUGCAUAGUUGGCACGUGAUGAUUGCUGUGAGGGAAGGGAGUGCUGUGGAGGUUAGAGACUAAGGUAGUUCAGGGUAUUUGACAGAAGAAGUGACAUUUGAGUAGCUCCAAAAGUGUACACAGGCUUUCUCCCAUUGAGACAAGCGAGGAAAGAAGUUUCAUGGGGAGUGUACAGAGGCCGAGGACUAGGAAAUGUACCUGCUGGGCAUAGCAGGGAGCGUGGGUUCAGUUACCACGUCUGUCUGGAUCUUUAAGUGGAAUUGGUUUUACAAAUUUUGCUUCCAUAAUUCAGAGGAAGGGCAGAGGCUUUCUUUGGGAUUAACUGAGAUUAGCCUUCAAAGCGUUUCUAUAGGGUAGGGCAACACAGGCUCUAAUAGUAGAUUUGAGAACUUUAAUAGUAAGAUUCGUAAAUGGGUUGGUUUGGAUUUUUUUUUUUUUGUUUUGUUUUUAAGACAGGGUCUGUGUAGGUAGCUCACGGUGACCUCAAACUCAGGGUUCUUCUGCCUCAGCCUCCCAAAGCAAUAGGAUUGAUUACUGGUGCGCCCACCACUACAACUGGCUUGAUUUUUGUUGUUUUGGAGGUUAUUUUGUUGUCGCGGUGGUCGUUCUGGGAAUUGACCUAAGGUUUCAUUCAUGCUUUUGAAAUCCCUUGAGUAGAAAGCAAAGGAAUUUGUAUAUUAUUUCUUGGGCCACGGGGAGAAAUUGAGUGCUUGUAGUGGCUGAAUCACACUUUUAUAGGUUUAAAGUCAACAUAUAUAUGUGGGGGGGGGCAGGGAAAGCAGAGGCAGGAGACCCAUUGAAUCAGUAUUGUGAAACAGAUGAGCUUUAAGUCAGUUAUUGGCCCUCUGCAAGAGCAGCCAGUGCUCUGAACUACUGAGCCAUCUCUCCAGUGUCUGUAGCUGCUCCUGUUAGUAAAGGGCGGGAGUUGAGAAGUUAGAGGUGGAAAAAUAGAAACCUGGCAUUCAGACCACACAGUUCUCUUCCUAAUUCUGCUAUUAGUUGGUAUAGAGCUUUAGCAGACCCUAGCCUCUCAGAGUUUUUGACUGAAAUUAGAAGAUUCUGAUAGAAAAGACUUAAUUAUGUAUAGCUUUCUUUGUUCACUGUACAUUUUCCUGUGUUGCUCAGAACUCUUAACUCCUUGGCUCAAGUCACCCUUGUCUUACCCUCUGCAGUAGCUGGAACUGGAAGCAUGAGUCACUGUACCACACAUUGUGACUUUAUUUUUUUUAAUCUUCGUUGGCAGUUGAAUUCUAUGUUAAAUGAGUAAUCAUUUUGUAGGAAAUUAUUUUCUACAGCCACUACUUUUUUUAGGCUAUAUGACUCUUAACAGGUAAACCUCAGAUUUUGUCGAAAUAAAUGGAGGUUGGACUCAUUUAAAUAGCAACAAAAAAUUGUUGUUUUGAGACAAAACUCACAGAGGUCCUAGAGCCUCUGCCUCCCAAGUGGUGAGAUUAAAGAUGUGCACCACUGUACUUGACUCCAAAAACUCGGAGGGAUAAACGCUUCUCUGCUCUGUGUGGUGAAAACAUAGAAAAGCUCCCCUCUAAGGAAGAAAAACAAAACAAAAAACUUGUUUUAAAUUUUUACUUUCGUAUAGCAGUUAUUUACCACAUAGUGGAAAGUAUUGAAACUUCGAAGUUGAAGCAUCUUAGAGUGGCUUUCUGGAUGUGUGAGCCUGCAUUAGGUUGGUUAUGAGCAUAGGUGAUCCUUAGGUAGCUCGGGGAGGUGGAAUGAUGAGCGAACCAUGCAAUGAUGAGUGAAGUACAGUCUGACCUGGUAUUGCCAUUGCUUUGCUAUGGCUCUGACCAGGGUGUGACCCCUUAAUCUUCUCUCUGAGCUGAUUCUGCUUACCACAAGGGGGUAUCUGAGUCUGUGUGGAUCCUGGCUUACAAUGUGUAAGAGUAUUUCUUUUGUAUCGUUUGAAUUACUGAUACUUUCAUGUUUUCCUUCCAGGUGAGAAAACAGGGUUGAAAACUUCACGGAGGAUUCAUCAUUUCUGCCCUGAAUUGGAAUUAAUUCCUUACUGACUUAUUACUGUAUUGAAAGUGUUUUAAUUAAUCAGGGUAUUUGUUUAGGUAAGACCUUUGUUUUGGUAAGGUUUUAUAAGAGCUUCUGAAUGACCAUAUACUGCUCUUCUGGUAUAUGUGAGCUUCAAUAUUUUUAAAUUCACAGGAUGGACUAUUUUACAACUUAGUAAAGUUAUAUCAUCUUUAUGGUGCCAGAGAAUAUGCUCUCAAUUGUUAGCAUGAAUCACAGUAUUACACCAGGCACUUGCAAAUUAUUUUCAUUUGUCCUGCAUUAAUCAUUUUUCAAAAGCAGUUUCUUCACUAGCCUGUGCAUCCACUGUCAUAAAUCUUCCUAAACAAGUAAUGUUGUUUUUGGCAAAUGGCUAUUUCAUACAAGGCAGCAUCUGUGUUAGAACAGGAUUUUUGUUCUAAUUAUUGAAUUUGUUUUUUUAAAAAGCAAAACUUGAAUCAAUACAGAAAAACUUCAAGAAGUCAAAGGUGAUCUGAAUAAAAAUUUAUUUAAA